rnacentral:rRNA from 1 species
CCCCCAUAUCUCSUUAUCCGGAAGGCCAGCAGUAAGGGAUCUCGCAUGGACGAAGUCUGACCGACCAGUCAGCGGAGUGAAAAAAGGUUUUCGGAUCGUAGAGCUCUGUUGUUAGAGAAGACAAGGGUGAGAGUAACUUUUUCACCCCUGACGGUUAUUUAACCAGAAGGCCACGGCUAACUACGGGGCAGCAGCCGCGGGUAAUACGUAGGUGGCAAGCGUUGUCCGGAUUUAUUGGGCGUAAAGCGAGCGCAGGCGGUUUCUUAAGUCUGAUGUGAAAACCCCCGGCUCCACCGGGGAGGGUCAUUGGAAACUGGGAGACUUGAGUGCAGAAGAGGAGAGUGGAAUUCCAUGUGUAGCGGUGAAAAUGCGUAGAUAUAUGGAGGAACACCAGUGGCGAAGGCGGCUCUCUGGUCUGUAACUGACGCUGAGGCUCGAAAGCGUGGGGAGCAAACAGGAUUAGAUACCCUGGUAGUCCACGCCGUAAACGAUGAGUGCUAAGUGUUGGAGGGUUUCCGCCCUUCAGUGCUGCAGCUAACGCAUUAAGCACUCCGCCUGGGGAGUACGACCGCAAGGUUGAAACUCAAAGGAAUUGACGGGGGCCCGCACAAGCGGUGGAGCAUGUGGUUUAAUUYGAAGCAACGCGAAGAACCUUACCAGGUCUUGACAUCCUUUGACCACUCUAGAGAUAGAGCUUCCCCUUCGGGGGCAAAGUGACAGGUGGUGCAUGGUUGUCGUCAGCUCGUGUCGUGAGAUGUUGGGUUAAGUCCCGCAACGAGCGCAACCCUUAUUGUUAGUUGCCAUCAUUUAGUUGGGCACUCUAGCAAGACUGCCGGUGACAAACCGGAGGAAGGUGGGGAUGACGUCAAAUCAUCAUGCCCCUUAUGACCUGGGCUACACACGUGCUACAAUGGGAAGUACAACGAGUCGCGAAGUCGCGAGGCUAAGCUAAUCUCUUAAAGCUUCUCUCAGUUCGGAUUGUAGGCUGCAACUCGCCUACAUGAAGCCGGAAUCGCUAGUAAUCGCGGAUCAGCACGCCGCGGUGAAUACGUUCCCGGGCCUUGUACACACCGCCCGUCACACCACGAGAGUUUGUAACACCCGAAGUCGGUGAGGUAACCUUUUUGGAGCCAGCCGCCUAAGGA